rnacentral:misc_RNA from 1 species
CACGGCGACAGAGAUUGUCCCGUGCCGUACACCGGAGGCAGUGCCGUACUCCUCGUGAUCACGGACCAACGGCGGUUGGAGCGGAGCCACAAGGCAGCGGUGGAAGGUGAGUCGAUGCGGGCCUGUCCUACAUUGACAGCUUACAGCCCUGCUGUGCGGCGCUCCGGUCCGACCGAGGAAGACGGGCAGCCCUUGCCCACCAUGGCGCACGCCGAAUGGCGGGGCCUCCCGACAGGAGCCAACCGUGCGGUGUGGACUGCACGCAGUGCUAACCGUAACGGCGAUCUCGUGGCGGUGAGCGCCACCUGUGUGCCAGUGCCGUUGGGAUUUAGAC